UCCACUUGUUAAGCACUAUAGCCUUAGGGAAGUUAUGCCCCAGAAGACUCAGCUUCCCUGCUUUGUAAUGGGAUAAUAAGAAUGCCUCCCUUGGCCAGGCUCAAUGACUCAUGCCUGUAAUUCCAGCACUUUGGGAGGCCUAGGCAGGCAAAUCACUUGAGGUCAGGAGUUUGAGACCAGCCUGGCCAACAUGGUGAAACCCCGUCUCUACUAAAAAUACAAAAAUUUCCUGGGAUUGGUAGUGGGCACCUGUAAUCCUAACUACUCAGGAGGCUGAGGCAGGAGAAUCACUUCAACCCAGGAGGCAGAGGUUGCAGUGAGCUGAGAUCAUGCCACUGCACUCCAUCCUGGGUGACAGAGCGAGGCUCCAUCUCAAAAAGAAAAAAAAGAAAAAGAAUACCUGCCUUCUGGAGGAGUCACAAGAAUUAAAUACAUUUUUAUAUGAAUUCUCGCCCUGCCUCCAUUUGCCUUGUGAUAUUCUAUUACCUUGUGAAGCAUGUGAUCUCUGUGACCCACACCCUAUUCAUACACUCCCUCCCCUUUUGAAAAUCACUAAUAAAAACNNNUGGAAAGCAGUUUGGUGAUUUCUUGAGGAACUUAAAACAGAAUUAUUAUUUGACCCAGCAAUCCCAUUAUUGGGUAUACAUCCAAAGGAAUAUAAAUUGUUCUACCAUAAAGACACAGGAACGUGUAUGUUUGUUGCAGCACUAUUCACAAU
rnacentral:lncRNA from 1 species